AACAUGUGGGAAUGAAGAUUAAAAAUAAAAAAUAAUUGUGCUUGGGGUCUGGGACUCCAUGACAUCUCCUAGUGGUCAUAAAGAAAUGAUGCAUCUCUAAAACUACUUAUUAAAAAAUUGCAAAUCAAUAGGUCUGGCCCCAUGACAGAUCACAGCAGACUGCAAGAACUGUGGUUAAAAUAAACAAUUUCUAUAGCAGUUUUCUUUGGAAAUAGGUCGAAUUGUUUUUGUAGGGUAUGGAAAUAAGUACUGGAUCAAAAACAAUUGACCAGAAGCCUGUAACAAGACAAACACGAUGCAAUUUGUUCAAUAAAAAUAGGUCAGUUUUUUCAGAGAUUAUUGUGGUCUUGGCAUUCAGGGUAAACAUCCCAGAAACCACUUAUUCUGAAAUGUUCUGUCUUUGCUAGGAUGUAGUCAUUCAGGAAUCCUACACAACCCAAAAAAACACAAUUUUCUGGUGGAAAUUGUAAUUUUAAGACAUGGAAAAAAAAUGGUAUUUCCACAGACCCACAUUCUAAAAUCAGAAUCUGAACUUAACUUGACAGCAAAUUUUUAUGCCUAUCACCAAACUUCCAUUUAAAAAAAAAAUAAACAAACAUACAUGUAUAUAUUAUAAAGUAAAUAACCUUGGCUCCCUUUACGUAGCAUUGAGCACGUAGCAAGUUAUAGAUUGAUUAAGCCUAGGGCAUAUUCAUUGAUGAAACGAGACGGGCCUUUUAUUUCAGAUGACACUGCCUGUAGUCCAAUGGGAAUGUGUCGUCGGUCUUACCAUUUAUAUCUGGGCUGAAGACCUAUUACUUCAGCAUAGUGUACCCUCGUUAGAACUACUGAUUAGGCCAUAAUGAUUGUUAAUCAAAUAGAGGUAAAGAUAAUAUAAUGGAACUAACAAUUUGUUUAAAUUAAUCUUCUCUAUUCAUGAGAAAGCAAACUGCUUACCUGCUCAGCUGAUGGUUGGUCUAAUUUGUUCUGGGUCUUUUACAUUUUUAUAUUUACUGCUAUGAAGCACUUAAAGGAAAUUAUUAAACCACAUACACUUACAGUAUGUGAGCACAAAGUAAAACAAAAUGAAUCUGAAUAGUUCACGUAAACAAGUCAUGAAUAUAUUGUGCCCAUUACCGUUAUACUGUAAGUGCGCUAUGGCCCGAGCAAAAGAGAGAAAAACCAAAACUCCAGUUUAGAACAUUCUUGGAGAAGACAAGCCUCUAGAGACCCAACGCUCAGUUAUAAUGGACAGUGCAAGUUACCUAGGCUAGUUGGCUGCCCGGCCCCUCGUUGGAAAAUGCGCAGUAUUGGAAGUGCAUACUGAAAGGUAUAAGGAUCUUAAGGACCUCCAAGAUCACUGCUGUCAGUUUGCAUCAACAGGAGUGUUAGCAUGACAAUAUGGCGUUGGCACCAAGUACUGCAGCAGGGUACACAGAAUAGCCCUUUGUGGCUUUGCCACUGGAGGCACAGUCAAGUCUCUUGCAGCAGCAUUAUUUAUCUGUUUUUGGGGAGAACAAUAACAUAGACUCUGAGAUUUAUACAUCGGUAAGUUUUGUUAAGUAAGUUAAACCAUGUAAAGCUUUAGCGCUAUAUUUUAGAAGGGCGAUUUUCAAGUCAGGAUGUAAUCACAGGGGUGAAGUGGUUGUACUUCUAUUUUUUAGUGCAACAUUUUGAAGUAAGUAAAAGUUACAAAUGCAGUGGUUUGAGUAGCCUGUAACUCAUGCAAAAGGAACGUGGUAGUUUUCAUUUUUGAAAGGUAAAGGUAUGGUUUCCUCUUCUAUAGUUAAGUGACUCAGGUGGUGGGCACAUGUCAAGGUAAGUUGCUUUGUUUAAACUUUAAUUUAUAUUAUAGGCAAAAGCAUAAAAAAUCAAACAUUAUUAAGUAGUGAUUAGAGAUAAUUUCUUUUAGAGGAGUAAUAAUGACAUUUGGGAUAUGAUAAUCAGAUGUAAUAUGUAAUUGUGUGAGUCUGCCUGUUACUGAACCAUGAAUAUCUGUAGGAACAUUCAAAACUCUCAUCACCACUUCAUGACUGUGACAUAGAGCUCUGCUGGGACGCCGGCUCACUAGUGUCCUCAUGGACUCUUCUGGCCAGGGUGCUACCCUUUCUGGCUCACAGUACAUUGGCGGCACUUCCUGUCCCCAGUCAGGCUCUCCUUCUUCUUACUUUGUCAUGUUGAUUUGCAGGUUUCACUUCCUCUGUUAGGUCCCAUCUUGUGUCAUAUGUGUACCAGCUUUGAGCCUGGCAUUAUAACUAGCAUGGCAUGGUGAAAACCUUACUUGAAUUUUUUUUCCUGUAUUUCAGAAGCUGAAGAAGCAUUGUGUUCUCCUUCACCCAACAGGCAAUAUACCAACUGAGCACCCAUGGUUUAUUUGUUCUGGCAGUGAUCGUUCACUCUGCUCAUCCAGAAACCUCUCAAAAAGCAGCACAAACAUUUGGGAGCAAAAUAAAUGCAGUUGCCACAACAGAACAAAACCAUCUUUGUAGGUAAAGACACAUCCAGUACAAACACCUACACAGAGGUGCGCAGGGGCAAUGUCAUGAAUCCUGGCAACCUAGACAAAGCAAAAAAAAAAACACAACCCAGGCAUGCACCGCUGAAGAGGAGUGGGUGACACACUUUCAUGAUCCUCAAGGGUGGAUGAAAGUACUGACCUCCAAAAUCAAGGAAAGAGACUGCUGAGGUGUUAACUCGGGGUGCACGUCCUUUGAAAAAAGGAGAAUGACAGCAAAGUGGAGCCGAGAACACCAAAGUGAGGCCGGGGGGAUUGUCAGUGACCUCUGCUGGACAUGAAAGGUACUGCAUAUGAGAUAAGUGGUGCCAGAGACGACAAGAAUGAGAGAGACUGAGCGAUUUGACCCAAGGGGGGAGAUUUGCCUUUUCAUUUUGACUGAAAUCGGUGAAGCUGAUUCUGUCGUAUGUGUGUUUUUUGAACUGUCAUAUUCAAACGUUUGCUGGGUGGUUCCAUCCUAAAUAUGUAAAUAAUUAUGACUUCUUUGUCUCUAGUUAGAGAUAGCACUUUCUAAAGGUCCACAUCCUCUUUAACAAAAAUAACAUUGUGUUUAAAACAGGGCUGAUAUGUGCUAUGUACCAUGUGUAUGUAUAUAUAGUGGAAGUCCGAGAAGGACAACAGGCAUCCCUGCGAUGGAGGAUAGUAGGAAGCAAAAGGACAGAUGGGUGGGCUGGCUAGACGAAGAAACUACAUUGUGCCUCGCUGGAAUAAUGUAAUGGAAAGACCAGCAGAAGUGGGAGACUAAGAACAAUUCCAUCCCCCAUACAGCAGAUGGCAGUGGCCCUCUGGUAGCAUCACAGUUUGGGCACCCACAAGGGUGCUUGGAAGUUGUAGUCCAGAACUGCAACCAUGUUGGGGUUCUUGGGUGCCAGUAGAGGGUGCUGACUUGGGAGGACCUCCCAACUUUCCAUGUGACCCGAUAGUACCUCCAAGAAGAUUCCCAUGUCAAGCUUGAAAAGAAGCCCACUGCCUCACUUUGGUGAGUCAGAAUCAGAGUCCAGAGGCAGCAAGCAACACUCAAAGAAGGAGCAGAAAGAGAAAAAAGAGAGACAUUUGGUCUGAUUGCAAUCGUGGCUGGUCUUUAUUGUACAUUAGGUGACUUAUUUGUAAUAAAACACAUUAU